UACGUAGGGUGCGAGCGUUAAUCGGAAUUACUGGGCGUAAAGCGUGCGCAGGCGGUUCGUUAAGUCAGAUGUGAAAGCCCCGGGCUCAACCUGGGAACUGCAUUUGAAACUGGCGGGCUUGAGUGCGGCAGAGGGGGGUGGAAUUCCGCGUGUAGCAGUGAAAUGCGUAGAGAUGCGGAGGAACACCGAUGGCGAAGGCAGCCCCCUGGGCCUGCACUGACGCUCAUGCACGAAAGCGUGGGGAGCAAACAGG
rnacentral:rRNA from 1 species